CUAACUCAAAUACUUCGAACCAAGUCGAGGGUUUAAUCCCUAAUCUCCGUGCGCGUGCCGACUUAAAACUAUUUCUAUAUAAACCUCUGCACCACGCGACUUCGCGAUCGAUCGACCAAACAAUCGGAAUCCGGCGAUCGCGCCGCUGGAGAUGAAGGAUCAACAAUUCCCCGUUGGCUAAAGUAUGGUAAGCUGGGUGGCGACGAGCGCGUUGGCCUUCUUCUUUGCGUCCCUAGAUCAGAUCGGCCGUGGGUGAGAACGACGACGAGGACGCCCAGCUCACCUUAAUCCGUCCUCACUUUCUUAUUUUUAUUUCCUGUUUCCACGAUUGUUCCUUCAGUUCUUCUAGUUUGCGGUUUUGGUGUUUACUCGGUAAUAGUUCUUUGGAUUCUAAAGAUGGCUCUUGAUUUCUGAUUUGACUUAAGCGUUAUAUGGUAACCCCCUUCCUAUUUUCUCUUUGGAUUGUUGAUACAUUCUUGAUUUCUGAUCUAUUUUGAUGUUAUACGGUGAUUUCACUGUUAUUUUGUGCCCUAACUGCGUUUUUUGGGUUUUAAUUUUGUGAUAGCCUAGAUCUGGAUAUUGCUUUACGUAUUCAUUAAAAUUCUUGGAUUUUGAUAGCUUUUUUCUGCUCUAGUGAUUGAUGAUGGAGAACUCUUUGAUUGGAUUUCUGCUAGUUUUUAAGUUUGAAUUGGGCUAUCCAUUUCCUGGGUAUUUUUUUUCUUUUUUUUUUGAUUUUUUCAUUGUGUUGUUCUACUGUUUUUGUUUGCUGUUACUUACUCUGCAAUCUUGCACGAUCUUGCACGAAAGUUACUUUGAUUUCCUGCUAGUGAUUAAGGUCAAGAAUUGUGAUUCACGAUCAGUUGGUCCUUUCCCUAUGAAUGCAGCUAUUUGAUAUGAUAUGUGUUGUUUGCCUCAUUUUCAUUUGGGUAUAUCUGUGCUGUCAUUUACACUAUUUUGAUUUCGGAUGAUAUAUUGGUGAUUAGGGAA
rnacentral:lncRNA from 1 species